rnacentral:lncRNA from 1 species
AUGUUCUGCAGAGAUGCAUCUGAAAAUGGUUGGAGUUGUUUUUGAAUGACUUAGUUUUAGUUUUAAAAUACAAAAAAGCAUGUGUGUGUGUGCUUCACACAGAUUGUUCCAGAAAGCCAGGUUUCCCUAAGUGGGAGUGAGAAAACUCUUGCAGCCCCCACUUCAUGUGUCCCUCCUGGAAUUUAUCAGAUGGUGACUCCUUCCAGGAUGAAGGUGUCGGAGUCCACAGGCUUUGUGAGGAUCAGUGCAAGUGGAAAAGGGAAGCAGGACUAUUUGUCUGCAUUCAAGUCAUCAGACAAGGACAAAGGCAGAUCAUCUGUCCAAACAGCAUCUGUAUGUGAUACAACUGCUAGAAUCAGUACAGAUGCUGGUGGCAUUAAACAAAAGGUAUGUCAAAGAACACGCAUGCAUGUACAUACUGCACAUUAGAUACAGGAGAGCAGGUCCUGAAAUGUUCUAUUUCUAAGGGCCAAAUAAAUAAAUAAAUAUAAAGUAUC